AGGAAUAUUGGUCAAUGGACGCAAGUCUGAACCAGCCAUGCCGCGUGGAGGAUGAAGGUCCUCUGGAUUGUAAACUUCUUUUAUCUGGGACGAAACACUUCUUUUCUAAGAGGCCUGACGGUACCAGAUGAAUAAGCACCGGCUAACUCCGUGCCAGCAGCCGCGGUAAUACGGAGGGUGCAAGCGUUAUCCGGAUUCACUGGGUUUAAAGGGUGCGUAGGUGGGCUUAUAAGUCAGUGGUGAAAUCUCCGAGCUUAACUUGGAAACUGCCGUUGAUACUAUAGGUCGUGAAUUAUCUGGAGGUAAGCGGAAUAUGUCAUGUAGCGGUGAAAUGCUUAGAUAUGACAUAGAACACCAAUUGCGAAGGCAGCUUACUACAUAUAAAUUGACGCUGAGGCACGAAAGCGUGGGGAUCAAACA
rnacentral:rRNA from 1 species